UCGAUACUUCAAUAGACAAGCAUUAAAAACCUAAUUGAUAUGUUCACUAGAUGUCUAGACCAGCUCUCACAUGUAUCAAACAACCUAGCUCAGCAGAAUUAUAUUCAUGUAAUGAAGCUAUUACUGCAAUUGUCAAUACUCCUAAGUUCAGGGUUCUAGUUGGCUACUGUAGAGCACAAGCAGUCAGCUCAAUUCUGUGAAAGAUCCUAAUAAAUCAU
rnacentral:lncRNA from 1 species